UGCGGGCGGGACCGCCGGGCGGGAUGUGUCCCCCGCCUCCCGCAGGUGAGACGGGGCCGCGGCCGUGAGGGGGCGCUGCGGGACGGGACCGGACCAGCUUCCAUCACCUCCAGCGUAUGGCUGCGUGUGAGAGCAUCGGUGUCCCUCGGUCUCCCUCAGUCUCCACACCGUGAGUCCAUGGGCUGGAGACAGCCCGAAGCGCCUAUUGACUGUCCCUUUGAAGUGCAAUGUGCCCAGCCAAGGCUCAGUAUGUGCUCCAGGAAUCCUCUGUCUCCAACUGCUAGAAGCAAAGUAACUGGAUAAAUCUACUGGAAUGAUAAAGAAUUCAAGUGGUUAAACUGAGUUAAAAGGUUCAUGACCGUUAAGAUGAGCUCUCUGUGGUUAAAAGGUAGAUGUGGAUAGAGCUUUGGAAGUGGUAGACUGAUGCACUAUUUUAUUGAUAACAAGAUACUUUAUUAGGUUAACUUUAUUUUAGUUCCAAAAUAGUACUUCACAUAGAGACUCAUAAUUAGUCUUGAUAACAGCUUUAAAAAAGUUGUCACAACCUUUAAAGUAAUGCUGGGACAUCCGGUACUUACCUUAAUGAUUUAUGAUAAAACAUUUAUGAUUAAAUGUAAGUUUUAAGCUUUGUAAUUAAAGAUAAUUGUUUUAAUGAGAUUUUCUAUAACAUUAUAUCUAAUACCAAUUAUUACAUCAUUUAAAAACCCUGUGGAGAAAAUAUUAGAAAUCUUAGGGAGCACUGCACAUCUCGUUUUCAUGCACUGUGCUUAAGUUUGUACCCUCUUGCCUAAUUUGUUGUUUAAUUAAUGUUGUUUCAUGAAACUUUUCCUUUUUGGUCAUUUGAUACCCUGAUAGGGAUUGGUUGCCCAGCUGGCACCUCUGUAGGAUGUUGUUAAAAAUGAUCUUUGUGUUGUUAGGUUAAAGAGCUGGUAAGUACAUUCUAGACAAUCAGCAUGCUGAUUGAUUUGCAUCUUCAUAGCUUUUAGGAGUGCGGUUUUAUUGUAGUAUGGUAGAAAGUUGAUUUGACCAGCUAUGUAACAGUCUGCAUUGCCACUUUCUUUGGUUCUUUUCGAUAUUCCACUAUUUUAAUUAUUGAAAUUGUAAUUGUUAAAAGUUUCUCUGCGGGUGGAAUGCGUUCUGUUCCUCAAGUGGCUCAAUAGAUUAGGAGCAAAACCAACAACAAAAUGGACCAAACUUGUCAAGUUUGCAUAAUUCCUUACUUGCUCCACACAGCGAGAACCCAGCUUUUCUUCAGCAGGUACAACCAGCAGGCUGCGAUUUUGGUCCCAACUCCAGUUCCUGUAAAACAACAGGUAUCAGGUGGUAGAUUUAAAACUGCAAGUAGAGUUAGAAGAAAGGAGGAAGAAAGCAUGAAACUCACAGAACAUGUCAAAAACAGGUAACUGGGGUCCUAUUCUUGUUGUUUCACAAGACUUGAAUGUGAAGUGGGAGAUAUGAACUGAAAUGCUCGUGUCCUGCUUUGAAAAAUUCUUCGGUAUCUUGGAAACCAACGAGAACCUUUUUAAAAAAGACAGGAAUGGACUGACCCUAACAUCUUUAAUGUAUAUAUUUCCUUCUGCAAGCAAUUCGUUAAAGAUUAUGAAGCGCUCAUGAAAGUACAAUGGAGGUACCUAGUUUUAGAGGAGAGGCAGAAUGGUAAUAAUCUGACACAGAAGCACUGGGAUGCAAUAUUCAAUGCAAUAUUCAAUCUCCAGAGGUCUGAAGCAUUCAUUCCAAUUUUUCUUGUUGCUUUUGUCCAUCAGUUACUUUCUGAACUAACUUCAGUGGUUAAAACUGCAGGGUUUAAUUUUUUUUUUGCUGUGAUCUAAUUAAUUUAUGAAAUAGAUCUUAAUUAUUAUCUUCCUUGUCUGCAGUCAUCACUGUUUACUCUUGAUGGAUAUGCUUCUGCCUACUGCCUUAAAAGAUCUGUGGGCCAUUGCCUGUUUCCUCAUUCCAGGGAUUUCCCAAAUUUAUCUGGAUAUAUGAAAGUAGCAUCUGUGGAGGGGAAUAAAGGUCAUCACCAGAGAGUUGCAGUAAAACUGCAGAGAGUACGUCUUCCUUGAGGAUAGUGUCUUAACUUUAGUAUCUUUCUUUGAGGAAAUACAACUAGGAAAUCAUUGCUUUGUAUUCUUUCAGGUAGUGCAGUCAUUCCUUUUGCGGGGGUCCAAAAUUCACGUUGAGAAGCAGUUACCAAGGAAAUACGACCACACGCUUACAUGUACUCUUUCUAAUGAGCAGAAGUCAAUGUAUGAAGACAUCUUGUCUCAACCAAGGUCCAUCUAAUUCAAGAAUGUCUCAGAAGUGGGCACUUUGUCAGCAUCCUCCCUGUUCUGACGCAGGUGCUCAGGCAUGCAGACUGGUCUCUCUUUGAUGUGAUCGGGAUGGAACACCAAACUACUUCUUAUGAAGCACAAAUUCUGCCAAAACUGAAGAUAACUAGGAAGCUUAUUGAAGAGACCGACUGUUCUCCUUCAACCCCAGUGAAGCUCAAACCAAACAGGCAAAAUGGAAGCUCUGGCUGCCCUGCUUUGGAAGCUGAAAGCAAGAGGACAUCGUGUGUUAAUUUUGAUGCAGAUGAUUCCAAUGCUUGAUAUAGAAUCAUAGAAUAGUUAGGGUUGGCAAGGACCUUAAGAUCACCUAGUUCCAACCCCCCUGCCAUGGGCAGGGACUAUACUGGAGCUUUUCUUGAACAUCCAUUUUCUCAGUUAGCUUCAGUUGAGAGAAAGCACCAUUGCCAUACAAGGAGAAUUGUUCUUCCACCUUCCCUUCUUGGCCAGAUGACUCCAGGAAUAUUGAAAACAAGACAGAAGAGCAAAGCUCAGAAGACACUCCUCCGGGUAAAACAGAAAAUGUAUUUUGAGACCUUUGUCAGCUGUCAUCAAGUCAGCUGCUGACACUGGCCAAGAGAGUCAGCAUGGCUAAUUGCUGAAGACUUGGCACUGUUCAAAGUAGGAUGGCGCUUUGUUUUUAUUGACUUCAAAAACUUUUCACUUCGAAGUUUAUUACAGCAUGGUUAGACCUCAAUUAAGGAUUACACAUGCUCUUGCACACAAGAAAAGCAUUUAAUUGAAACAUUACACGGGUUUGCUUUCUCUCUGCCUCCUAGGCUGUGAAAACAGUUACAGACGCUUCCUUUAAACCUUGCUAUUGUGUCACGGGCACAGACAGCAAACUGGGACUUGGUCAGCGAUGUCCUUAACUCUUGGAACUGUUUAUCACUCCCCAAAGCAAUGCCAAAAUCGUUACAUAAAAGCACUUGCAGGUCCAGGAGGAAAGGUGAAUUUGAGAUGUGCAUUACAUUGUGAAGACUUGGGCGUUUCUGUUUGUUUUGGGGUUUAUUUCCUUUAUUUUAAAUUCCUCAUUGCUGUUAGUGUUUAGUAAUGACACUUCUGUGGUUGUCUCAUUUUUUGGCAUUUUAGCAAUGUCAGAAGCAACCCUGAUACGUAACAAUUUUUUGUCAAGUCGGACUUUUCUGUCACAAUUAUUGGUACAGAUAAUUAGGAAAAAAUUUCAGGAAUGGAUCUUUACGUGACUUCAUGGUCGUAUUUUUUAUGUACUCCGAAUUAAAAUAAUUCGAAAUAAGCCUAUUUAGCCCGCCUUCCAUCUGUUUCUGUUGUCAUAGGCAUUGACUGAAGAAAAACUGGAGCAACAGCCUGGUCAGAAGCAAGAGGAACAGUGGAGCAAAUCCCAACCCAGUGUCAACCACAGGGGAAAACACAGUAGGCAGAGAAAUAUGUUCCUCACAGCUAAAUGAAUCUGUAAGCCUGGAUUCAUGUGCACUUACAGCAUCUGUUUUGACUUUGCUGAGGCUGUGUGUACGACUCUCAGCAAAUCUGGAGAACUGGGACACUGAGUAUCGGGAGCAUUUUCUUUUAUCUGAGCUGAGGUGAUGGAAUUAAAUGUUACUUAAAAAAUAGACUCUUGUUCAUGGAUAGAAGAAUACUACUCAGAAGUUAAUUACAGACAAGCUCUUUCUUACGGAUAUAGGAUUUUGGGCUUCAUCCCAGAGUGGAUUUAAUGAUGCUGAAAAAGGCAUUCCAUAUAUAGACUGGAACAAAUGUAAUUUUAUGGUACUAAUAUAAUGGUACUUUUUCAGUGUGUUUAUCUCACUCAUUGGAAGAAUUUUUUAAAACUUCACACCCUCUUUUGUGAGCACUUUGGAACACACGUAAAUGUUAAAAAUACAAUAUAUUUUAUGACACUUCCAGGCCUUGGGACAUACAGUGUCUCCAGCCGUACCUGUUUUACCACUACUGUCUCUGGUUCCAGCACAGCUGCAGCCUGCAACCCCUGGCCUGUUUCUUCAAGCAGCAGCAGUUGACAGCACCACUUGUAACCAUUGAUCCGAGGACAACUGUGCAGAUGCUUCUGGUGACUCCACUUAGAUCAGAUUUAGUCACCACCAGUUCCAGGGACCAGUCCUGAUCCUCAGACCACAGCGGCUUCUUUGGCAUGGAUGAACUCAAUGCAGAAGUUACCCUGGUGCCCGGCUGCUGGUGUAUGUCAACACCUGGAAAGCAAAGCUUGUGUACAGCCUGGAUUCAGCCUACACCAGUUGUGGUGUUAAGAACAGUGAGAUGUCUGCUUCUAAAUGAGAGCGGAGUGUCACUACUGAGCAGGUGGAAGUUGUGUUUUCUUUAUUGGUGAACUACUCCAUAAUUAUUUGGUUAUGGGGUUUUUCUAGUAUUUUAUUGUAAUCACGAUCAACUCUAAGCUACUUUUUUCUCCUUUCUGCCUUCCUCCCUUUGCACAGUAUGAGGAUUUCACUGCCCGUGCUCCAGGUGAGCAGCCUAUCCUUCAUCUUUUAAGUAGGCAGAUUUUCUUUGUGUAUUUUUUUACACUAAAUCUUGAAGAUUUAGUUACUUGAAGACUUAGCAUUGUUACCUGAGUCUCUGAACGGUCAUUACACUCCCGUAUCCGCACCGCAAUAAAACUUUGCUUUCCGCCCUCGU